UUAGAUACUGUAAAUUAUUAGAAAUAAACGUGAUAUUUUUGCUUUUAGUAAAAUUGUGAAAUUUCCUUCUACUGUUUUGAAUAUUUAUACAUUGUAAAAUUCAUGUGCAAAUAACUUCCUCAUUAUUUGAAAAACUGAUAUUUCUGCACUUGAUUGUAGUAUUGCCUAUGAAAUGAUUAUUUACGAAUUGGCAAUUCCAUAAAUUGUGAUAAUUCGGUAUUUAAUUUUGAAUUUUCAUAAAACUUCUUCUAUUGAUCCUAGACUGUUAUCAUGUUAGAUUUCAAGAAUGUCCUUCAGAGCUGCUACCUUUCAGAAAUUAUUGCCAAAAUAUUUGACUGGUUACUUAUAGAUAUUUCAAUGAAAGUGAUUGUUUAAAUUGCUUCAAGGGAAUUCCUGUUAAGGAUUUCAAUGAUCCUUUGCAUAUAUGAUAUUGUUGUUUUCUGAUGUUAAAAGAGUUUCAGAGAUAAUUUUAGUAUAAGUGGACUCAUCCGAUACGCCGGUAAGAUAUGAUCGGAUCUGCAGGAAUUGUUAGGACCUUUCAGGUUAUAUCGGUAGGGACUAUUUGGACUCAUCCGGGAUACCGGUGAGGUAUGAUCAAACCUGCAGGGAUUGUUAGGACCUAUCCAGUUAUACCGGUAUGGACUAUUUGGACACAUCCAGGACACCGGUGAGGUAUGUUUGGACCUGCAGGGAUGGUUAGGACCUAUCUGGUUAUGCCGGUAGAGACUAUUUGGAUUCAUCCGGUACGCCGGUGAGGUAUGUUUGGAUCCGCAGGGAUUGUUUGGACCCAUCCAGGACACUAGUGGGGUAUAUAGGUGACCUACUUGGGAUGCCAG
rnacentral:lncRNA from 1 species